UUGCAUAAUCAAUCAAAUAUUACGAAAGAUAUUGACAUUAAAAAAAAAAUUAGUAUUACACCUUACACAAGAUAGUAACAUGUUACUACCUAAAGUAUUACUGGCUAAGGUGUUACUGUCUAAAACAAUACUGCCCAAAGCAUUACUACUCAAAAUGAUACAGUACAAUACGUUAUGGUACAAAAAAAAUUUACUUUAAAUUAAUACAUAAGAAUUAUUUUUAACAAUAAAUUCUUAUGCAAAGAGCAAAAUGUAGAUACUAGAUUUUGGUUAAUACUGUUACUCUAAAGAAUUACAUUACAAUAUAAUGUUGUACAGAGAACAACCAGAACAAGUGAAGUGCUACUUCACGCAGAAUAAGUAAAACAAGUGAAGUGCUACUUCACGUAGAAUAAGUAGAACAAGUGAAGCGUUACUUCACGCAGAACAACUAGAACAAGCGAAAUGCUACUUAACGCAGAAUAACUAGAAUAAAUAAAACACUAUUCUAUAUGGAACAAUUAAUGGAAGUAGAACAACUACUUCGAAUAGAAUGACCACUUCACUUGGAUGACAGUGAAAGCAACUCGGAAUAAGUGGCAGGGUUCAUGGGUUACUUUCAUCUUGCGAUGUUCCAGAGAGUUUGGCUUGGUGGCUCAAAUAUGAAGAACUCCCUUUACAGUUACCAAACUUAGCUUUUUGGCCAAGGGUUUUGGCUCCCUUGAUUGUUUCGCAACAGAUGUUUUGAUUGACAGAAGUACAUUAAGUCUCAUGGUUUCAGACGAACAAAAGAAUACUCAGGUUAGUAAAGCUAUCUUUUCUGGAUUGAAGUGCUUAUGGAAAACCGAAAAUGCUAUGCUUUCGUUCUUGGUGGACGGUGCUGCAUUUGAAACAAAUGCAGAGAGAGCUUCAUGGAACACUUUUUAGUCUGUUAAAAACAAUAUUCACACAGGUAUUGAGGUUGAUGAUUUCGUUGAAAUAUUGUCAGAGCUAGUACAACCUCUUGAGGAUUUUUUUAAUGAAGUAUUUGUGAUGGUGGUUAUGUUCAGUAGACCUAUUAGUUGGAUUAUGUCCCUCAAUGGUGAUGCAGUAGUUCCAUUUAUGUCUACUAGGAUUAUGAGUGGAAACUUAUCUUACGUUCUUCAUAAUACUUCGGUAGCUACUGUUAUGAUUAUUAGGUGGAUUAUGCUGCAUUUGAAACAAAUGAAGAGAGAGCUUUAUGGAACACUCCCUAGUUUGUUAAAAACAAUAUUCACCCUGGUCAUGUUCAGCAGACCUAUUCGUUGGAUUAUAACCCUCCAUGGGGAUGCAAUAGUUCCAUUUAUGUUUGUUGGAAUUAUGAGGUAAUUGUUAUUAUGGGGAUGCAAUUGUCUCAUGGUUUCACAUGAACAAAAGAAUAUUCAGAUAUUUCGUUGUGCACCGAAGAUGUCUGAAAGUUGGAAGAGACAGAAGCUUCUUUCAAGGGCUGAAUUCCAUGUUGGUGCUUGUGUGACUAAGUUCUUGCGGCUCCAGAUGCUUUCUACUUCAUCUGAUUGAACCAGUGCCACUGCAGGCUCUGAUAAAACCAAUCGAUUUUCUUUGUUAUUUGGUACUCUGGAUGGCAGCAUUGGCAGCAUAGCUCCUCUGGAUGAACUCACAUUUCGUAGAUUGCAAUCACUACAGAAAAAGCUUGUUGAUGCAGUUCCACAUUUCGCUGGCUUAAACCCAAGGUCUUUUCACCAGUUCCGUUCAAGUCGAAAGGCUUAUAGGCCUGGUCCUGACAGCAUAGUUGACUGUGAGCUGCUUUGCCAGUAAGUAACAUCUUUUUGUUUCUGAAAAAUACUACAGAAAGUACCAUUUUCUGAUAAUUAUUAACUUGAGCUCCAGUUUGAGAAAAGUUUGUUGCAUUUUCGUUUCUUUCCCCUGCCCUUUGCGCUGCUUUCUGCCUCUGGCUACCGAAGAAUAAUAGGAUUAUGACUUUUCUUCAUUCCCAAGCAUUAACAUUUGCAUUUAUUUUCAAGUUUUUGGUUGGUUUGCCUGACUAUGUUAUCAGAAUGCAUUACUCCACUAAAAUUCAAGACAAAAUUUUCCUCAUGAAAACUGGUAACAGAUAUUAUUAACUUUGUUUCUUUAAAUUAAUCUUCCAUUCAAAAUUCUUGAGAUGUUCUUUGGAAGAGUCUCAGUUGCAUUUGUUAGAUACUUAACCUAUAUCUUUAGCAUGAGAAUUCGUCAUUAAUACAAUUUGCUUAAAUUCUUUACAUCAAUAGUUCAUUUUGAUUACUUAAUUUCAACAUGUAUAAAGUACCUCAUUCCCCACAUCUCUGAUCUGAGCCUUGCUAUGAGAGUAAAGUGUCUAGCCUUGCUGCGAGCUGCUGUCUUACACUGUUUUGUAGUUAGAAAAUGUUUCCAUGGGAGGAACAGCUUUAUAUUGCUCACCAGAUUGGAACGACCCGUUCCCAAAUUCUCUCUAAUUUAAAUGAUCUUACUUUGGGUACAAGUUCCUUGUGAAUGCAGCAGAUACCAAGGCAAAUAUUAAAACAACAUUGACUGAGCCCAAAUCAUGAUGGGCUAUACCCGUUGCAGAAUGACACCAUUCAAAAGCUUCUGUAGAUCAGGGUUGAUAGUUUUAUUUUAUGAAACAUGAAGUGUCUGAUCCCGAGAAAGAGAAAAAAUGUUGUUUAGUCACUGUACCCAUCAAAUUUGAUGGAGUAGAAUCUUGUAUCUUAGAGCUAGAGUUCACUCUAAUGUAACACAGGAUUGAUGACUGACAUUGUGAAGAGUUAAGUAGAGUCUCCAAUUCUGUACUACUAUUUUAUUCAUUAACUUGCACUUUGGUGGCUGGCAGCCUGGAGUCUUUUGCUAGAAGCGGCUCCGGCCGUAAACUGGAGUUGCAGUUGUAACUGAUUCACCGUCAGCAGGUGUAAUUUUUUUUAUAUUCCAGGUGAAUCGUGCAGUGUUAAAAUGUUGCA
rnacentral:sRNA from 1 species